GACGAACCGUGCGAACGUUGUUCGGAAUCACUGGGCUUAAAGGGCGCGUAGGCGGAUCAUCAAGUCCGGGGUGAAAUCCCACAGCUCAACUGUGGAAGUGCCUUGGAUACUGGUGGUCUCGAGGGAGGUAGGGGCAUGUGGAACUUCCGGUGGAGCGGUGAAAUGCGUAGAUAUCGGAAGGAACGCCGGUGGCGAAAGCGGCUCACUGGUCCAUUACUGACGCUGAGGUGCGAAAGCGUGGGGAGCAAACAGG
rnacentral:rRNA from 1 species